CCCUGCUCUGGGGAGGUGCCAUUCUGAGGGCCAGGAGUUUGAUUAUGUGCCACUCUGGCUGCUAUGGCCCCCUCCCAGGGUCCGGGC
rnacentral:pre_miRNA from 1 species